rnacentral:tRNA from 1 species
GCCGGAGUGGCGGAACAGGCAGACGCACAGGACUUAAAAUCCUGCGGGGAUAAUAUCCCCGUACCGGUUCGAUUCCGGUCUCCGGCACCA